AUCAACUUUCGAUGGUAGGAUAGAGGCCUACCAUGGUGGUAACGGGUAACGGGGAAUUAGGGUUCGAUUCCGGAGAGGGAGCCUGAGAAACGGCUACCACUUCCAAGGAAGGCAGCAGGCGCGCAAAUUACCCAUUCCCGACACGGGGAGGUAGUGACAAUAAAUAACAAUACGGGGCUCUUUUGGGUCUCGUAAUUGGAAUGAGUACAAUUUAAUUCCCUUAACGAGGAACAAUUGGAGGGCAAGUCUGGUGCCUGCAUCCGCGGUAAUUCCAGCUCCAAUAGCGUAUAUUAAAGUUGUUGCAGUUAAAAAGCUCGUAGUUGAAUCUUGGCUGGUGUUGAGCGUCCGUGGCUUUUUUGGUCACGUGCACGCGAUAUUUACACCUGGCCAAUUAUAUUUUCAACCCUUCGGAGGAACACGUUUUGGUGCUUUUCAUUAAGUGCUCGUGGGAUUCCGAUAGUUUACUUUGAGAAAAAUAGAGUGUUCAAAGCAGGCGUUUUUGCCUUGAAUACAUUAGCAUGGGAUAAUAGAAUAGGACAUUGGUUCUAUUUUUGAUUUUUUGGUUUACGGACCGAUGUAAUGAUUAAUAGGAACAGUUGGGGACAUUCAUAUUCCAUGGCUAGAGGUGAAAUUCUUGGAUUCAUGGAAGAUGAACUACUGCGAAAGCAUUUGCCAAGGAUGUUUUCAUUAAUCAAGAACGAAAGUUAGGGGAUCGAAGACGAUCAGAUACCGUCGUAGUCUUAACCAUAAACUAUGCCGACUAGGAAUCAGACGAUGUUAAUUUUUUAAUGACUCGUUUGGCACCUUACGGGAAACCAAAGUGUUUGGGUUC
rnacentral:rRNA from 1 species